AAAUGCCCCGAACCCCCAUUUUAGCUAUUUUUCGGCUUCAAGCAUACUUGUUAGGUAUAAUCGUCAUCUCUUUAAUUAAUUUCUGAUUUUUUUUUUAUUUAGUAGAUUAGUUUCUGAUUUUUUUUAUUUUUAUUUUUUAUUUUUCUGUUUUGGUUAUUUCUUAUUAAUUAGAGUUUCAAGUUAGGUUUAUUUAAUUAGCUAUCUCUAUUUAGUUUAGUGGUUUGUUAGAUUCGUUAUUGAUUUAAAUAUGAUCUUUAGUGUAUUAGUUAAAUCGUUCACUUGGUUAGUCGAUUAUUUAGUUGUUGUUAGUCGUUGUUCGAUUAUUAACGAUGCUCGUUCUGUUUUGAGAAUUAGUUUGUGAAUUUAGUUGUUUGUUUAGUAAUUAGUUUGCACAAAUCCAAUUCAUUCCCAUCAAGUUGGUUUUAAUACUUAGUUCAAUUAUGUUUUUAGUCUCGUCUAUACUUUGUCAGUCAUAGUUGUCCAAGUUUAAUUUGUGUUGAGAAAGUAGUUUGUUGUUGAUGGUUAAAAUCUGAAGUUUAGUUUAUUUUAUCACAAAAUAGGGUAAUAGUAGCUUACUUUUACUAGUAAGGUGGCUGAAAGGACAUUUUUUCUCCUUGCUUCUGACACAGCAGAUUUUCAGGUUGUCCUUUUACCUUUGGGACAUACCUUGAACAGUGUUUAGCACACAAAGUCAGUCUUUUGGACAGAUUUUUGGUGAACCAAAAUCUGUCCAAAAAUCUAACUUUAUUUGCCUAUUGAAAGGGCUGCUUUUCUCCUAUAAAAGGGACUGUCUUACACUUAGAAUGCAGAGUUCCUUACUCACUGAAAAGGGGGACACUCUAUUACACACUCUAUCUUAUACUGAGACACAUCUUGGAGAGUUGCUGAAAGACAUAUAUCUUUGAGAAAAAUCAGCAGCUUAAUACAUAUAACAAGCUGAAAUUUCAGAGUUUUGUGAGGAUUAUUUGAGUGCAAAAAACCUUGAGAAAAAUAGAAAGAUCCCUUAGGCAAUUUGUGAAGUUGAUAGCUACCAGUUUCAAGCAUUUUGUUGAGUUUUCUGGGUUGUUUUAACACUUGAGUUGCUGCUGUUUCUACUGUAUUUGCUGCUGAGUUUUUUGUUGCUGCACUGCUGUAUUUUAUUAUUCUACAAACCAGGUAACUUUCAAAUUCUUAUAUUGCAGAUUCUUGAUGAUAAUAAGAAGGAUUUGAUCCCGGUUUGGUUGAUGGAACAUAUUGGAUCUGAUUUUGUUUCAAGAUGAAUGUUAUAUUAGUAUUAUCAUUAUGUAAAUCUGUUAAAGAUUAGUUAAAUUAUCGUUUUCUUCUUUAUAUAUGUGAUUGAAAUUGCAUUCGGUUAAGAUUACUUAGUUUAAGGAAAAGAUAAAGACCCCACUUUUAACUAUGUUUGUUUAGUUUGGGCUUUUUUCCGUGAGUUACUUUCAUGGUUCAUGUAUAAUUAUCUAAGAAAGACUUCUAACUUCAAAUAUUUUGAUGCUUUAAAUUAUAGUCAACAUAAUAUUAUACUUAAUAUAGUUCUUCUC
rnacentral:lncRNA from 1 species